rnacentral:rRNA from 1 species
AUUGAACGCUGGCGGCAGGCUUAACACAUGCAAGUCGAGCGGAAACGAUACUAGCUUGCUAGUAGGCGUCGAGCGGCGGACGGGUGAGUAACACUUAGGAAUCUACCUAGUAGUGGGGGAUAGCACGGGGAAACUCGUAUUAAUACCGCAUACGACCUACGGGAGAAAGGGGGCAGUUUACUGCUCUCGCUGUUAGAUGAGCCUAAGUCGGAUUAGCUAGAUGGUGGGGUAAAGGCCUACCAUGGCGACGAUCUGUAGCUGGUCUGAGAGGAUGAUCAGCCACACCGGGACUGAGACACGGCCCGGACUCCUACGGGAGGCAGCAGUGGGGAAUAUUGGACAAUGGGGGCAACCCUGAUCCAGCCAUGCCGCGUGUGUGAAGAAGGCCUUUUGGUUGUAAAGCACUUUAAGCAGUGAAGAAGACCAUAUGGUUAAUACCCAUAUGCGAUGACAUUAGCUGCAGAAUAAGCACCGGCUAACUCUGUGCCAGCAGCCGCGGUAAUACAGAGGGUGCAAGCGUUAAUCGGAAUUACUGGGCGUAAAGGGAGCGUAGGUGGCUCUAUAAGUCAGAUGUGAAAUCCCCGGGCUCAACCUGGGAACUGCAUCUGAUACUGUUGAGCUAGAGUAUGUGAGAGGAAGGUAGAAUUCCAGGUGUAGCGGUGAAAUGCGUAGAGAUCUGGAGGAAUACCGAUGGCGAAGGCAGCCUUCUGGCAUAAUACUGACACUGAGGCUCGAAAGCGUGGGUAGCAAACAGG